rnacentral:rRNA from 1 species
GAUGAACGCUGGCGGCGUGCCUAAUACAUGCAAGUCGAGCGAACUGACGAGAAGCUUGCUUCUCUGAUGUUAGCGGCGGACGGGUGAGUAACACGUGGAUAACCUACCUAUAAGACUGGGAUAACUUCGGGAAACCGGAGCUAAUACCGGAUAAUAUCUUGAACCGCAUGGUUCAACAGUGAAAGACGGUUUUGCUGUCACUUAUAGAUGGAUCCGCGCUGCAUUAGCUAGUUGGUAAGGUAACGGCUUACCAAGGCAACGAUGCAUAGCCGACCUGAGAGGGUGAUCGGCCACACUGGAACUGAGACACGGUCCAGACUCCUACGGGAGGCAGCAGUAGGGAAUCUUCCGCAAUGGGCGAAAGCCUGACGGAGCAACGCCGCGUGAGUGAUGAAGGUCUUCGGAUCGUAAAACUCUGUUAUUAGGGAAGAACAAAUGUGUAAGUAACUGUGCACAUCUUGACGGUACCUAAUCAGAAAGCCACGGCUAACUACGUG